rnacentral:lncRNA from 1 species
UCAGUCAGUCUAUCAGUCAGUCAGUCAGUCAGUCAGUCUAUCAGUCAGUCAGUCUAUCAGUCAGUGUGUCAGUCAGUCAGUCUAUCAGUCAGUCAGUCAGUCAGUGUGUCAGUCAGUCUAGUCAGUCUAUCAGUCAGUCAGUCAGUCAGUAUAUCAGUCAGUCUAUCAGUCAGUCAGUCUAUCAGUCAGUCAGUCAGUAUAUCAGUCAGUGUGUCAGUCAGUCAGUCAGUCUAUCAGUCAGUGUGUCAGUCUAUCAGUCAGUCAGUGUGUAAGUCAGUCAGUGUGUCAGUCAGUCAGUAUAUCAGUCAGUCAGUAUAUCAGUCAGUCAGUGUGUCAGUCAGUCAGUAUAUCAGUCAGUCUAUCAGUCAGUCAGUGUGUCAGUCAGUCAGUGUGUCAGUCAGUCUAUCAGUCAGUCAGUGUGUCAAUCAGUCAGUAUAUCAGUCAGUGUGUCAGUCAGUGUGUCAGUCAGUCAGUAUAUCAGUCAGUCAGUGUGUCAGUCAGUCAGUGUGUCAGUCAGUCAGUCAGUGUGUCAGUCAGUCAGUCAGUCUAUCAGUCAGUGUGUCAGUCAGUCAGUCAGUCAGUC